rnacentral:rRNA from 1 species
UACGUAGGGUGCAAGCGUUGUCCGGAAUUAUUGGGCGUAAAGAGCUCGUAGGCGGUGUGUCGCGUCGGCCGUGAAAACCUGGGGCUCAACUCUGGGCGUGCGGUCGAUACGGGCAUCACUUGAGUUCGGCAGGGGAGACUGGAAUUCCUGGUGUAGCGGUGAAAUGCGCAGAUAUCAGGAGGAGCACCGGUGGCGAAGGCGGGUCUCUGGGCCGAUACUGACGCUGCGGAGCGAAAGCAUGGGUAGCGAACAGG